rnacentral:rRNA from 1 species
CAGUCGCCGCGGGAAAACGUAGGUGGCAAGCGUUGUCCGGAAUUAUUGGGCGUAAAGGGCUCGCAGGCGGUCUCUUAAGUCUGAUGUGAAAGCCCCCGGCUCAACCGGGGAGGGUCAUUGGAAACUGGGAAACUUGAGUGCAGAAGAGGAGAGUGGAAUUCCACGUGUAGCGGUGAAAUGCGUAGAGAUGUGGAGGAACACCAGUGGCGAAGGCGACUCUCUGGUCUGUAACUGACGCUGAGGAGCGAAAGCGUGGGGAGCGAACAGGAUUAGAUACCCCAGUAGUCCCUGUCUCUUAUAC